UGUGUCUCUGUGUGUGCUGAACAUGUAGGACUGAGUCAGGCUGCAUUGACUGUGGGACUUUUCUGUGUUAAAAGCAGGUUGAAGACGGCUCAGAAACAUUUGAAGAUUAAAAUUUAGCAUUAUGGCUGCUGGUGGUGUGUAAAGCUUCUACUCAGCUGUAUUUUUGGUACUAAUUUAUGUUUGUUGUUGUUUAACACAGAUUUCAGAAGUGCAAAGAUGAGCACUGUUGCUUAAUCCUUAAUACUUUAAAUCAGAACUGGAUUGGAAAUCCAAAAAUCCAGAUUCUUCUUCCACAGAAGUUUCAUUUGUCAGUGUGGGACUGCUGAGCCACCUGAAGAACUCAUUUCAUUCAUUCUCCACGAUGUUGAUUUACAGAAAUGUUUCACAGGAACUGAUUCCUCCCAAAGGGUGAACUAGUGUGUUUCCAUAGAUUAUCUCUGUAUGAAUGUACUUCUUAAAUGAAGGCAAGUGUUUGUCCUGUUUUGUUCCUCAGGUACAGUACGUGAUAUUCAGGGCAGGCGGUCAUCACCAGGGGAAGACAAGAAGCAGACGUACUUCCAAGAGGGGGCUGCAGUGAGGACACAGCCUGGUCACUGAGGUCAGAGGAGGCGCUGAAAGGUUUCCCUAAUAGUUCCUGGUGAAUCAAAGCAGGACCAUAAAGGUUGCUGGACUGCAUGAUGGCCUUACCCCUGAGCAGUCAUCCUGUUAAAGGAGGAACCAGUUAGAAGCUGUUUUCAAAGUAGCUGAGCAGAUUUCAUCUCAAUAGAUCAAAGCAGCUCGUGCUCUGUCUGCUUCCAUUCUGAUGGCAAGAAGAAGGAGAAGGAGAAGAAUGCUUCAGCGAAGUGGCGUUCAUGGUCUCAGUGGACAGUCAUGGUCACACACUGCAUGUGGUUUUAAAAGCAACAUUGUUCACCACAACAAUGGAGAUGUGUAAUAUUAGUGCAGCUACAGUUUGUUCUUGAACAUCAGUUCUGUUUUCUACUUUGACCACUUAGACCAAAAAAAGUGUUGUUUUCAGAUUCUUUCUUUUUAAAUCUAUAAAUCACCUGUUCAUUUUUUAUUACAAUUAGUUUCACAUAAAUGUUAGUGUUUCCUUUAUGAUCUUUUAAUGCUUACACUACACUGUACACGUCUACAUUAGAGACAUUUCUGUUACCUGUAUGAGACUGGGCUGCUUGACUACAAUUUGGAAAUGGAUGCAAAAUCACACGGAUCGUGCUAUUGUUUGUUUUUUAAUAUGAUGGACUGAACACAGGAGGUAUCUGACUAAGCAAAGAUUAAUCUGAGCCCAUUUCUACCUGUCUCUGCUGUUUCAACUGUAACUGUCAGGAUAUAUAUUUAUUCCAGCUCUCAUAGGGCAAAGGAAUGACUCAGACUUGUCAAAUGUUCUUUGACUUGAUACACAAUAUGAAGUUCACAAUUUUCUUACAAAUAAAACUAUAAUGACAAACAUGAA